rnacentral:rRNA from 1 species
AGUGAACGCUGGCGGUAUGCCUAACACAUGCAAGUCGAACGGCAGCACAGUAAGAGCUUGCUCUUACGGGUGGCGAGUGGCGGACGGGUGAGGAAUACAUCGGAAUCUACUUUUUCGUGGGGGAUAACGUAGGGAAACUUACGCUAAUACCGCAUACGACCUACGGGUGAAAGCAGGGGAUCUUCGGACCUUUCGCGAUUGAAUGAGCCGAUGUCGGAUUAGCUAGUUGGCGGGGUAAAGGCCCACCAAGGCGACGAUCCGUAGCUGGUCUGAGAGGAUGAUCAGACACACUGGAACUGAGAAACGGUCCAGACUCCUACGGGAGGCAGCAGUGGGGAAUAUUGGACAAUGGGCGAAAGCCUGAUACAGCCAUACCGCGUGGGUGAAGAAGGCCUUAGGGUUGUAAAGCCAUUUUGUUGGGAAAGAAAAGCAGCAGGUUAAUACCCCGCUGUUCUGACGGUACCCAAAGAAUAAGCACCGGCUAACUUCGUG